rnacentral:tRNA from 1 species
UGCGGGGUGGAGCAGUGGUAGCUCGGCGGGCUCAUAACCCGUAGGUCAUCAGUUCGAGUCUGAUCCCCGCUA